rnacentral:rRNA from 1 species
GACGAACGCUGGCGGCGUGCUUAACACAUGCAAGUCGAACGGAAAGGCCCUGCUUUUGUGGGGUGCUCGAGUGGCGAACGGGUGAGUAACACGUGAGUAACCUGCCCUUGACUUUGGGAUAACUUCAGGAAACUGGGGCUAAUACCGGAUAGGAGCUCCUGCUGCAUGGUGGGGGUUGGAAAGUUUCGGCGGUUGGGGAUGGACUCGCGGCUUAUCAGCUUGUUGGUGGGGUAGUGGCUUACCAAGGCUUUGACGGGUAGCCGGCCUGAGAGGGUGACCGGCCACAUUGGGACUGAGAUACGGCCCAGACUCCUACGGGAGGCAGCAGUGGGGAAUAUGGCACAAUGGGCGGAAGCCUGAGGCAGCAACGCCGCGUGCGGGAUGACGGCCUUCGGGUGGUAAACCGCUUUCGCCUGUGACGAAGCGUGAGUGACGGUAAUGGGGAAAGAAGCACCGGCUAACUACGU